rnacentral:lncRNA from 1 species
UCAUGAGAUCUGUCUUCUGCAACUCAUAGAAGGGCCAGAUCAUGUAUGAAUUGAUAUAUAUUGAUGGUCAAAGGUCGUUGACCGACCAUGACCGACUAGAAUUCUGGGUAACCCAGAACGUAUGAACAGUGUCUGACAACAUGUUUCAAAGCCAAUAUUUGUCGGGUGUUAUGUAUUUUGUUGUUUUUGUAGUAAUAUAUGUGUAGC